UACAGAGGGUGCAAGCGUUAAUCGGAAUUACUGGGCGUAAAGCGUGCGUAGACGGUUAUGUAAGUCAGAUGUGAAAGCCCCGGGCUCAACCUGGGAAUUGCAUUUGAGACUGUGUAGCUAGGGUGCGGAAGAGGGAAGCGGAAUUUCCGGUGUAGCGGUGAAAUGCGUAGAUAUCAGGAGGAACACCGGUGGCGAAGGCGGAUCUCUGGGCCGAUACUGACGCUGAGGAGCGAAAGCGUGGGGAGCGAACAGG
rnacentral:rRNA from 1 species